UAGGAUUGAAAUGCAGCUAGGCUGUCAUAAGCUCAAGAUGCACUUAAAGCCACCUUUAAGAUGAUCCUAGCACCUUUGAUUAAUUUAACCCCACGAAAGCUAGGGCACAAACUGGGAUUAGAUACCCCAUUAUGCCUAGCCCUAAAUCUUGAUGCUUACCACACCAAAGCAUCCGCCCGAGAACUACGAGCACAAACGCUUAAAACUCUAAGGACUUGGCGGUGCCCUAAACCCACCUAGAGGAGCCUGUUCUAUAAUCGAUAACCCACGAUUCACCCGACCACCCCUUGCCAGAGCAGCCUACAUACCGCCGUCGCCAGCCCACCUCCCCUGAGAGUCCUACAGUGAGCACAAUAGCCUAAACCCGCUAAUAAGACAGGUCAAGGUAUAGCCCAUGGGGUGGAAGAAAUGGGCUACAUUUUCUAUAAUAGAAAAUCUACGAAAGAGGACAUGAAACAACCCUCGGAAGGCGGAUUUAGCAGUAAAGUGGGAUAAUAAAGCCCCCUUUAAGUUGGCCCUGGGGCACGUACAUACCGCCCGUCACCCUCC
rnacentral:rRNA from 1 species